GUGUCAGCCGCCGCGGUAAUACGGAGGGUGCAAGCGUUGUUCGGAAUUAUUGGGCGUAAAGCGCGUGUAGGCGGUCAUGUAAGUCAGAUGUGAAAUCCUUCCGCUUAACGGGAGAAGUGCAUUUGAAACUGCAUGACUGGAGUACGGGAGAGGAGAGUGGAAUUCCCGGUGUAGAGGUGAAAUUCGUAGAUAUCGGGAGGAACACCAGUGGCGAAGGCGGCUCUCUGGCCUGAUACUGACGCUGAGACGCGAAAGCGUGGGGAGCAAACAGGAUUAGAAACCCCCGUAGUCC
rnacentral:rRNA from 1 species